CCUUUGAUUUAUUUGAAUGAGAAUAAUGCAAACCUGUUCAUACUUUGUGUUGUUUCAAAUCUACCAAAUUGGUUAAUAUUCACCAUGCUACCUCUUGUUUGGUUACUGUAUUGAAACAUAGUUGAAUUGCAAUUCAAGUUUACUACACUUGUUAUGUCAGAAAAAAUGAUUUUAAAAUCUGUUUGUUUUUCCAUUGAGUAAUGUGGUUUCAGAAGAUGAGAAUUGGGCGAAAACAGGUGGAGAAUUGAUCUGGACACCAAUUGGAUUGAUUUCUUAUAGUAUGAACCGGUAACUCAAGUGUUUUAUGAGUUUGAUUCCGGUAGCCUGAUUUCGUGUUGUUAGACUUGGGUUAUUAAUUAAGAUGGUGUAUGUUUAUAUUCCGUUUUAGAGGUUUUCUCUUGUGUUAGCUGAUGUUGAUUGAGAAAUUACUCCAACAAAUGUGCAAUAGUCAUCUUUAAUUAGUAAAAAAGGCAUUUGAUCCUUUUCUGGAUGGAAACUGUAGCUAAUGUCAAAUUGUGAAACAAAUGAAGAGAUGCUGUCUGUGAAU